rnacentral:rRNA from 1 species
AGUGAACGCUGGCGGUAGGCCUAACACAUGCAAGUCGAACGGCAGCACAGUAAGAGCUUGCUCUUACGGGUGGCGAGUGGCGGACGGGUGAGGAAUACAUCGGAAUCUACUUUUUCGUGGGGGAUAACGUAGGGAAACUUACGCUAAUACCGCAUACGACCUACGGGUGAAAGCAGGGGAUCUUCGGACCUUGCGCGAUUGAAUGAGCCGAUGUCGGAUUAGCUAGUUGGCGGGGUAAAGGCCCACCAAGGCGACGAUCCGUAGCUGGUCUGAGAGGAUGAUCAGCCAAACUGGAAAUGAGACACGGUCCAGACUCCUACGGGAGGCAGCAGUGGGGAAUAUUGGAGAAUGGGCGCAAGCCUGAUCCAGCCAUACCGCGUGGGGGAAGAAGGCCUUCGGGUUGUAAAGACCUUUUGUUGGGAAAGAAAAGCAGCAGGUUAAUACCCCGCUGUUCUGACGGUACCCAAAGAAUAAGCACCGGCUAACUUCGUGC